rnacentral:rRNA from 2 species
CAUGCAAGUCGAGCGGAUCGAUGGGAGCUUGCUCCCUGAGAUCAGCGGCGGACGGGUGAGUAACACGUGGGUAACCUGCCUGUAAGACUGGGAUAACUCCGGGAAACCGGGGCUAAUACCGGAUAACACCUACCCCCGCAUGGGGGAAGGUUGAAAGGUGGCUUCGGCUAUCACUUACAGAUGGACCCGCGGCGCAUUAGCUAGUUGGUGAGGUAACGGCUCACCAAGGCGACAAUGCGUAGCCGACCUGAGAGGGUGAUCGGCCACACUGGGACUGAGACACGGCCCAGACUCCUACGGGAGGCAGCAGUAGGGAAUCUUCCGCAAUGGACGAAAGUCUGACGGAGCAACGCCGCGUGAGUGAAGAAGGUUUUCGGAUCGUAAAACUCUGUUGUUAGGGAAGAACAAGUGCCGUUCGAAUAGGGCGGCACCUUGACGGUACCUAACCAGAAAGCCACGGCUAACUACGUGCCAGCAGCCGCGGUAAUACGUAGGUGGCAAGCGUUGUCCGGAAUUAUUGGGCGUAAAGCGCGCGCAGGUGGUUUCUUAAGUCUGAUGUGAAAGCCCACGGCUCAACCGUGGAGGGUCAUUGGAAACUGGGGAACUUGAGUGCAGAAGAGGAAAGUGGAAUUCCAAGUGUAGCGGUGAAAUGCGUAGAUAUUUGGAGGAACACCAGUGGCGAAGGCGACUUUCUGGUCUGUAACUGACACUGAGGCGCGAAAGCGUGGGGAGCAAACAGGAUUAGAUA